UACGGGGGGAGCAAGCGUUGUUCGGAUUUACUGGGCGUAAAGCGCGCGUAGGCGGCUUUUCAAGUCGAUUGUGAAAUCCCCGGGCUUAACCUGGGAACUGCAGUCGAGACUGUCUAGCUAGAGUAUGGGAGAGGGAAGUGGAAUUUCAGGUGUAGCGGUGAAAUGCGUAGAUAUCUGAAGGAACAUCAGCGGCGAAAGCGACUUCCUGGACCAAUACUGACGCUCAUGUGCGAAAGCGUGGGGAGCAAACAGG
rnacentral:rRNA from 1 species